rnacentral:rRNA from 1 species
CCUACGGGCGGCAGCAGUGGGGAAUAUUGGACAAUGGAGGGAACUCUGAUCCAGCAAUUCUGUGUGCAUGAAGAAGGUUUUCGGAUUGUAAAGUGCUUUCAGCAGGGAAGAAGAAAGUGACGGUACCUGCAGAAGAAGCGACGGCUAAAUACGUGCCAGCAGCCGCGGUAAUACGUAUGUCGCGAGCGUUAUCCGGAAUUAUUGGGCAUAAAGGGCAUCUAGGCGGCACGACAAGUCAGGGGUGAAAACUUGCGGCUCAACUGCAAGCUUGCCUUUGAAACUGUAGUGCUAGAGUAUUGGAAAGGUGGGCGGAACUACACGAGUAGAGGUGAAAUUCGUAGAUAUGUGUAGGAAUGCCGAUGAUGAAGAUAGCUCACUGGACGAUAACUGACGCUGAAGUGCGAAAGCUAGGGGAGCGAACAGGAUUAGAUACCCCAGUAGUC